rnacentral:rRNA from 1 species
CCGGCGACCGGCGCACGGGUGAGUAACACGUAUGCAACCUGGCCGUGACAGAUGGAUAACCGGGAGAAAUCCCGCCUAAUACAACAUAAUGCCGGGAGGGGACAUCCUCUGCCGGUCAAAGGGGGCGACCCCGGUCACGGAUGGGCAUGCGGCGCAUUAGGUAGUUGGUGGGGCAACGGCCCACCAAGCCGACGAUGCGUAGGGGUUCUGAGAGGAAGGUCCCCCACAUUGGAACUGAGACACGGUCCAAACUCCUACGGGAGGCAGCAG